AUGGAAUUCCUGUGUUCCCAUUGAUUUAUUCCUGAGACCGCCUGAAGUGAAAUUGUUAGGUUACCACUGCUGUGGGUUCUGAAAACCCUGGACAACACAGGGGUUGAGCAGCUGGGGACUGAGCUUCUGAAGACCCGCCAGAUGAGGUCAACAACCUACAGGAGGCACCAGGUGGAAGAGAAAAUUGCAUCGCCACACCCAGCCGAGAGGAGGUGCUCAUAAGAGGCACUGAGGAGGGGGACCUUUGAACAGCUCGCCCGAGGAACAAUACUCCUUUCUACCUGUUUCCAAUGAUGGCUGCUGUACCUGAUUCACUGGUCGAGGACUUUGGUCUCUGGUGAAGAACAAGCUCAAGAGCCCAGCAUAGAGCCAUGGUUCACUGGAGCACUAGUAGAAAGUAGUUGAGCCAUCUUGGCAGGAUUUUGAACCUCAUGCUCUGAAGCUCUCACUGAGCAAUCCAGAAGGAAGAGUUUCAUCUGGGCUUCCUUGCCUUUAUGUAUCCUUUUGGAAAAGAAG